rnacentral:rRNA from 1 species
CCUACGGGUGGCAGCAGUCGAGAAUCAUUCACAAUGGGGGAAACCCUGAUGGUGCGACGCCGCGUGGGGGAAUGAAGGUCUUCGGAUUGUAAACCCCUGUCAUGUGGGAGCAAAUUAAAAAGAUAGUACCACAAGAGGAAGAGACGGCUAACUCUGUGCCAGCAGCCGCGGUAAUACAGAGGUCUCAAGCGUUGUUAGGAAUCACUGGGCGUAAAGCGUGCGUAGGCUGUUUCGUAAGUCGUGUGUGAAAGGCGCGGGCUCAACCCGCGGACUGCACAUGAUACUGCGAGACUAGAGUGAUGGAGGGGGAACUGGAAUUCUCGGUGUAGCAGUGAAAUGCGUAGAUAUCGGGAGGAACACUCGUGGCGAAGGCGGGUUCCUGGACAUUAACUGACGCUGAGGCACGAAGGCCAGGGGAGCGAAAGGGAUUAGAUACCCGGGUAGUC